GACGAACGCUGGCGGCGUGCUUAACACAUGCAAGUCGAACGGAAAGGCCCUGCUUUUGUGGGGUGCUCGAGUGGCGAACGGGUGAGUAACACGUGAGUAACCUGCCCUUGACUUUGGGAUAACUUCAGGAAACUGGGGCUAAUACCGGAUAGGAGCUCCUGCUGCAUGGUGGGGGUUGGAAAGUUUCGGCGGUUGGGGAUGGACUCGCGGCUUAUCAGCUUGUUGGUGGGGGAGUGGCUUACCAAGGCUUUGACGGGUAGCCGGCCUGAGAGGGUGACCGGCCACAUUGGGACUGAGAUACGGCCCAGACUCCUACGGGAGGCAGCAGUGCGGAAUAUUGCACAAUGGGCGGAAGCCUGAUGCAGCAACGCCGCGUGCGGGAUGACGGCCUUCGGGUUGUAAACCGCUUUCGCCUGUGACGAAGCGUGAGUGACGGUAAUGGGUAAAGAAGCACCGGCUAACUACGUG
rnacentral:rRNA from 1 species